rnacentral:pre_miRNA from 1 species
AGCCUUCUGUAUCCGUGUUGAGGUUUCGUCACACACCAGACCACAAGGGCUGGUGAGACAAAAUAAGUGAAGCG